GGAUGUGAGGAUGAUCUGACUGAGACAGCUGUUAUCCCAUUGCUCCCCAGGGUUGAUUCGGCUGAUCUGGCUGGCCAGUCAGGCGUCCCCUUUCUCCCUCACCAUUCCAUGCUCAUCCUUCUUGAAGAGGACUACCUUCCCCCAAUAAAGGAGACCAGUCUUUGGUCAAGGGUAUCCGAGUAGCUGCGGCUCUCUUGCUAGAACCCCCAAACAAGCUCUGAAGGUCCAGUUUUUAUUUCUAAUUCUUCAUUUCAGUUUUGCGGCAAAGAGAAAACCUCAUUAAACACUCAAUAAACUGCAGGGUUUUUGUCCUAAGUU
rnacentral:snRNA from 1 species